CAACUUUCAACAACGGAUCUCUUGNGCUCUUGCAUCGAUGAAGAACGCAGUGAAAUGCGAUACGUAAUGUGAAUUGCAGAAUUCCGUGAAUCAUCAAAUCUUUGAACGCAAAUUGCACUCCUUGGGUAUUCCGAGGAGUAUGCUUGCUUGAGGGUCGAA
rnacentral:rRNA from 1 species